rnacentral:lncRNA from 1 species
CCGCCCGCUGCCGCCUCCCUUCCCCUCCCACCUCCCGCUGCGCGGAGCCCGGCGGAGCCCGGCGGGGCAGGCAGAGGAGCCGGGCAGCUCCAGGUAGGCAGCAUGGCACGGCUCCGCACGGCUCCGCACGGCACGGCACGGCAUGGCACAGCAUGGCACGGCAUGGCAUGGCACGGCACGGCACAGAUCAGUGCCGGAGGUGCGACGGGUUCUCCUUGCGCUUUGCGGGGCAAACAGCCGGGGGAGGAGAAGGAGGAGAAGGAUGAGGAGGAGGGAUGCUGCAGCUUGGUACUGGGGAGCCCCGGCUCCUCCGAAGUCGCUCCCGGAGCAAUCCCCCCCAAAAGAAGCAGCCUCGGAGGUAUCCACAGUUAUGUGCUAAGUCAAAAUUUUUCUGGAAGUUCCAUCUCUGGAAGCUUCUGUUUCCAGAAAUGA